GCCGGCAUGCUUACACAUGCAGUCGAACGGUGAAGCAGAGCUUGCUCUGUGGAUCAGUGGCGAACGGGUGAGUAACACGUGAGCAACCUGCCCCUGACUCUGGGAUAAGCGCUGGAAACGGCGUCUAAUACUGGAUAUGAGCUGCGAUCGCAUGGUCAGCAGUUGGAAAGAUUUUUCGGUCUGGGAUGGGCUCACGGCCUAUCAGCUUGUUGGUGAGGUAAUGGCUCACCAAGGCGUCGACGGGUAGCCGGCCUGAGAGGGUGACCGGCCACACUGGGACUGAGACACGGCCCAGACUCCUACGGGAGGCAGCAGUGGGGAAUAUUGCACAAUGGGCGAAAGCCUGAUGCAGCAACGCCGCGUGAGGGAUGACGGCCUUCGGGUUGUAAACCUCUUUUAGCAGGGAAGAAGCGAAAGUGACGGUACCUGCAGAAAAAGCGCCGGCUAACUACGUGCCAGCAGCCGCGGUAAUACGUAGGGCGCAAGCGUUAUCCGGAAUUAUUGGGCGUAAAGAGCUCGUAGGCGGUUUGUCGCGUCUGCUGUGAAAUCCCGAGGCUCAACCUCGGGUCUGCAGUGGGUACGGGCAGACUAGAGUGCGGUAGGGGAGAUUGGAAUUCCUGGUGUAGCGGUGGAAUGCGCAGAUAUCAGGAGGAACACCGAUGGCGAAGGCAGAUCUCUGGGCCGUUACUGACGCUGAGGAGCGAAAGGGUGGGGAGCAAACAGGCUUAGAUACCCUGGUAGUCCACCCCGUAAACGUUGGGAACUAGUUGUGGGGUCCAUUCCACGGAUUCCGUGACGCAGCUAACGCAUUAAGUUCCCCGCCUGGGGAGUACGGCCGCAAGGCUAAAACUCAAAGGAAUUGACGGGGACCCGCACAAGCGGCGGAGCAUGCGGAUUAAUUCGAUGCAACGCGAAGAACCUUACCAAGGCUUGACAUAUACGAGAACGGGUCAGAAAUGGUCAACUCUUUGGACACUCGUAAACAGGUGGUGCAUGGUUGUCGUCAGCUCGUGUCGUGAGAUGUUGGGUUAAGUCCCGCAACG
rnacentral:rRNA from 1 species